rnacentral:rRNA from 1 species
GCGGCGUGCCUAACACAUGCAAGUCGAACGGAAUGAGGGGCUUGCUCCUCAUUUAGUGGCGCACGGGUGAGUAACGCGUANAUAAUCUGCCUGAUGAUCUGGGAUAACACUUCGAAAGAGGUGCUAAUACCGGAUAAGCCCACGACGGCCUUGGUCGUUGCGGGAAAAGGGGGGGACCUUUUGGCCUUCUGUCAUCAGAUGAGUCUGCGUACCAUUAGCUAGUUGGUAGGGUAAUGGCCUACCAAGGCUUCGAUGGUUAGCUGGUCUGAGAGGAUGAUCAGCCACACUGGAACUGANACACGGUCCAGACUCCUACGGGAGGCAGCAGUGGGGAAUUUUGCGCAAUGGGCGAAAGCCUGACGCAGCAACGCCGCGUGAGUGAUGAAGGCUUUCGGGUCGUAAAGCUCUGUCGAGGGGAAAGAAGUGUANUGCGGUUAAUACCCGUGCUACUUGACGGUACCCCUAAAGGAAGCACCGGCUAACUCCGUGCCA